rnacentral:misc_RNA from 1 species
AAACAAAAACCAAGCUCCAGACCAAACAUUGUGAUUUUCUGAAUGUGAGAAAUUGUUCCUUGCUAAAUGACAUCAUAAUUCAUUCCGUAGUGCUUCAGGAUUCAUGUUUGUUUCAAUUUUCAUUGAAUUUAUAUGGGUGCAAGACUCCACUGUUGGAGAGCAUUAUAUACCCUUGGUUUUAAAUACCAGAUCUGCAUUAUUGUUUUAUCAUUUAUAACACUCUGCAUCAGAGAAUGUGCAGCAAAUGGUUAUCAUCUGUUCAUGAGUCAUAAACUGGUCAUUCUAGAGUAAAUCUGAGAUACUUGUGCAUUGUCACAUGAAACUUGAGAGAAAUGGACUGUAGAAAUGCUAAAUUAAGCAUUUUCAGUAUCAAAAUUUGUGUUUUAUUAUGGUACUAUUGCAUAUUCCUAAGAUAGUUUUAAAAAAUGUUGUGUAUGUGUCUUGUAUAAUUAUAUAAGGAAUGCAAAUACUUGUUUCAUUUUAACCAGAAAAGACAUGCAUAUACAUGUGGAUACAUGUAGCAAGUGACAUAUUAAUAUUUUAUAUUCUUAAGAGAAUCUGUUAUUUUCGGUUGAAUUUCAAGCCUUUAAAAAAUUCUCAUUGAUAUAUCUAGAUAUCAUCUUAAUUAUAUGUAUAUUUGAUAUCUGGUUUUUUUAUGCUUCUUGUUCAUUGUCUUGAAUAAAGCACUAUUAGAUCCCAAUGUUCCAACAUGAUCAAUACAAUUCUGAUUACUAAGUUACAUCUCCCGAAAGGAGAUUUACCAAUAACUGACUUUGUAUAUAUAUAAAGUAAUACAUUGUACAUUGUAUAUGCACUUGUUCUUUCAUUUGAAACAUUAUUUUCUAUGAUAGUGUGAUGUUAUUGGAUUUGAUUCAUAUAUCUUAAAAACCUCCAUUUUACAGCAGUGAACUCCACAGGACUAACAAUAAUUUUAUUGCGAUGUUCUUUAUUUCAUUACCUUCCCUUCCCCAUACUUUAUUUACAUUUAUGUGUGUUAAGUAUAAUCAUGAUAGAAAUUGAUUUGAAUGGUGCGUGAAUGUGAAAAUGCAGUACACAUGUACUGUUGUGAGAUUAUCACUUGAACAGCUAUGAAACUGAUCGUGAUGUAUAUACAGAAGAUUAUUUAUUACAGAAGAUAUCUUAUUCAUUGUUUGUUGAUGUCGGUGGGCUUUAUCGUAGACUCGUCACAAACGUCUUGAAGUCCAGAGGAGUCUGACACUUGAUAUUAAGCAAUGCUUUGAUGUUGUCAGCCAGUCUGUCUGUGAUCAUGCAUGAUGACUACAACCAUUGGCCAGAAGUCUGUAUCUGUCACCACAGUCCCAAUAUAUGUCAUGUUUUUUCUCAUUGUUUUCUUUUUUAAGAUGACUGGAACCAUGCGACGCUUCUUUGCCGACAGCUCUUAAUUCCAUAUUUUUAUCUUUAUGAGGCAUCCAUGGCUACAAUCAUGAUGCUAUCAGUUCUUGGUUUUCUUUUCAUUGUGAUAGAUUUUAUAAUGACUAAUGCCAAAACCUUAAGGAUUGAAAAUUUGUAUCAAAAGUUUUUUUUAAAGUAAAGUAUCUUAACAAACUUC